AUUGAACGCUGGCGGCAGGCUUAACACAUGCAAGUCGAACGAUGAAACCUAGCUUGCUAGGUGGAAUAGUGGCGGACGGGUGAGUAACACUUAGGAAUCUACCUAAUAGCGGGGGAUAGCCCGGGGAAACUCGGAAUAAUACCGCAUAUUUUCUACGGAAGAAAGGGGGCAGAAUACUGCUCUCACUAUUAGAUGAGCCUAAGCAGGAUUAGCCAGAUGGUGGGGUAACGGCCUACCAUAGCGACGAUCCUUAGCUGGUCUGAGAGGAUGAUCAGCCACACUGGGACUGAGACACGGCCCAGACUCCUACGGGAGGCAGCAGUGGGGAAUAUUGGACAAUGGGGGGAACCCUGAUCCAGCCAUGCCGCGUGUGUGAAGAAGGCCUUUUGGUUGUAAAGCACUUUAAGUAGCGAAGAAGACCCCAUGGUUAAUACCCAUGGGCGAUGACAUUAACUACAGAAUAAGCACCGGCUAACUCUGUGCCAGCAGCCGCGGUAAUACAGAGGGUGCAAGCGUUAAUCGGAAUUACUGGGCGUAAAGCGAACGUAGGUGGUUAAAUAAGUCAGAUGUGAAAUCCCCGAGCUUAACUUGGGAACUGCAUCUGAAACUGUAUAACUAGAGUAGGUGAGAGGAAAGUAGAAUUCCAGGUGUAGCGGUGAAAUGCGUAGAGAUCUGGAGGAAUACCGAUGGCGAAGGCAGCUUUCUGGCAUCAUACUGACACUGAGGUUCGAAAGCGUGGGUAGCAAACAGG
rnacentral:rRNA from 1 species